rnacentral:rRNA from 1 species
AUGGCCUCCCUCCUUAUGCUUAUCUCUUGGGAACUUUGGAAAGAGAGGAAUGCUAGGGUCUUCCGGAAUGUCUCCGCGCCUCUAAUGAUUCUUGUGGAAAAAAUAAUGGAUGAGGCGGCCCUGUGGGUUUUGGCGGGUGCCAAAGGGCUUGAUGUAAUUUUACACCGUGAGUAG